rnacentral:rRNA from 1 species
AUCCUACGAGGGGCAGCAGUGAGGAAUAUUGGUCAAUGGGCGGGAGCCUGGACCAGCCAAGUCGCGUGAGGGAAGACGGUCCUAUGGAUUGUAAACCUCUUUAGGCGGGGAGCAAUGCCGGGCACGCGUGCCCGGAGGGAGAGUACCCGCAGAAUAAGCAUCGGCUAACUCCGUGCCAGCAGCCGCGGUAAUACGGAGGGUGCGAGCGUUAAUCGGAAUUACUGGGCGUAAAGCGCUCGUAGGCGGUAUGUCAAGUCAAGGGUGAAAUCCCCGCGCUCAACGUGGGAACUGCCUUUGAAACUGGC